GAUGAAGAACGCAGCGAAAUGCGAUAAGUAAUGUGAAUUGCAGAAUUCAGUGAAUCAUCGAAUCUUUGAACGCACAUUGCGCCCGCUGGUAUUCCGGCGGGCAUGCCUGUUCGAGCGCCAUUUCAACCCUCAAGCUCUCCGGAGUUUGGUGUUGGGGCGCCUGGGGCUUUUCGACCUCAGGGCCCUCAAGUCCAUCGGCGGGACCGCCAGGACACUGAGCGCAGUAGUAUUAUUUCGCUCGGUAGGAUCUUCCACGGCGGGUCGAUCUGGCCGCUAAACCCCCCAAUUCUCACCAAAGGUUGACCUCGGAUCAGGUAGGAAUACCCGCUGAACUUAAGCAUAUCAAUAAGCGGAGGA
rnacentral:misc_RNA from 1 species